AACGAACGCUGGCGGCAUGCCUAACACAUGCAAGUCGAACGAGACCUUCGGGUCUAGUGGCGCACGGGUGCGUAACGCGUGGGAACCUGCCCUUAGGUUCGGAAUAACUCCCCGAAAGGGGUGCUAAUACCGGAUAAUGUCUUCGGACCAAAGAUUUAUCGCCUUUGGAUGGGCCCGCGUUGGAUUAGCUAGUUGGUAGGGGAAAAGCCUACCAAGGCGACGAUCCAUAGCUGGUCUGAGAGGAUGGGCAGCGACACUGGGACUGGGACACGGCCCAGACUCCUACGCGAGGCAGCAGUGGGGAAUAUAGGACAAUGGGCGAGAGCAUGAACCAGCAAUGCCGCGUGAGUGAUGAAGGCCUUAGGGUUGUAAAGCUCUUUUACCCGGGAUGAUAAUGACAGUACCGGAAGAAUAAGCUCCGGCUAACUCCGUG
rnacentral:rRNA from 1 species